UUAGAGUGCGGGAGAGGCAAUCGGAAUUCUCGGUGUAGCGGUGAAAUGCGUAGAUAUCGAGAGGAACUCCAGUGACGAAGGUGGGUUGCUGGACCGACACUGACGCUGAGGCGCGAAAGCUAGGGGAGCAAACGGGAUUAGAUACCCCGGUAGUCCUAGCCGUAAACGAUGGACACUAGGUGUUGCCCGUAUCGACCCGGGCAGUGCCGUAGCUAACGCGUUAAGUGUCCCGCCUGGGGAGUACGCACGCAAGUGUGAAACUCAAAGGAAUUGACGGGGGCCCGCACAAGCGGUGGAGUAUGUGGUUUAAUUCGAUGCAACGCGAAGAACCUUACCAGGGCUUGACAUGUCGCGAAUCCCCUUGAAAGGGGGGAGUGCCUUCGGGAGCGCGAGCACAGGUGGUGCAUGGCUGUCGUCAGCUCGUGUCGUGAGAUGUUGGGUUAAGUCCCGCAACGAGCGCAACCCACAUUCUCAGUUGCCAUCAUUCGGUUGGGCACUCUGGGGAAACUGCCGGUGAUAAGCCGGAGGAAGGUGUGGAUGACGUCAAGUCCUCAUGGCCCUUACGGGUUGGGCUACACACGUGCUACAAUGGUGGUGACAAUGGGUAAUCCCCAAAAGCCAUCUCAGUUCGGAUUGGGGUCUGCAACUCGACCCCAUGAAGUCGGAAUCGCUAGUAAUCGCGUAACAGCAUGACGCGGUGAAUACGUUCCCGGGCCUUGUACACACCGCCCGUCACACCAUGGGAAUUGGGUCUACCCGAC
rnacentral:rRNA from 1 species